rnacentral:rRNA from 1 species
GAUGAACGCUAGCGGCAGGCCUAAUACAUGCAAGUCGGACGGGAUCCAUUGAUAGCUUGCUAUCAAUGGUGAGAGUGGCGCACGGGUGCGUAACGCGUGAGCAACCUGCCUCCAUCAGGGGGAUAGCCUCUCGAAAGAGAGAUUAACACCGCAUAAUAUCAACAGUUCGCAUGUUCAGUUGAUUAAAUAUUUAUAGGAUGGAGAUGGGCUCGCGUGACAUUAGCUAGUUGGUAGGGUAACGGCUUACCAAGGCGACGAUGUCUAGGGGCUCUGAGAGGAGAAUCCCCCACACUGGUACUGAGACACGGACCAGACUCCUACGGGAGGCAGCAGUAAGGAAUAUUGGUCAAUGGGCGGAAGCCUGAACCAGCCAUGCCGCGUGCAGGAUGACUGCCCUAUGGGUUGUAAACUGCUUUUGGCCAGGAAUAAACCUAAAUACGAGUAUUUAGCUGAAUGUACUGGAAGAAUAAGGAUCGGCUAACUCCGUG